GAUAAAUUCAUUGAGCAAGAUGUAAAGUUGCCAAGAUAGUAACUAGGACACAUAGAAUGGGACGAAUAGAUUCUCUUCUUUUAUUAUAUAGGAACUUGAUGAAGCUUUACUUGUGUUGCGCUGUUCUAGAGAUGCAUGAGACACCUGUAACCUUUUUCCCUUGGCUUUGCAGCUGCACGCACCAACUUGAUGUUGGGGGACACCAUGGAAGGUGUACAAAAUUAGCAAUGGAUCUCUAGGCUGGUGAUGACCAUGUAAAUUUGUUUUAGUGGACUUGGGGCUGUAGGUUCAUUCAAAAGCAUGUUUCAGAUGUUUGGUUCAGUUUGCUAAUUGAAUGGAGAAGAGAAGAGAAGUAGCACAAUAGCGCUUAGGCUACUGUCCAUAUAAUGUUAUUGAGCCAUGUUGUUCUGCAGGCUAUGUCGUAUAUUGUGGAAUCUUUAUUAGUCAGCAAUGAUCACUAACACUCAUGCUAGUAUAUUUUCAGAAUCAUAACAGGGACGUAGUUCUUUCUAUAGUUCCAAGUUAUGAUCCUAAAUUUAAACUCGAUGGUGCUGAAAUUAAAAUGCAUUUUGGGCAGUGUAAUACAACACUUGCGAAAACUGAAGAUUUCGUACAGAGUCGCAAAAACUGCAAUCAUAUUGGUAAUGCAGAAAAAAUAUUGCAUGGCCUUCAACCUUUGUAUGUGUCUAAUAUCCUUCCUUUAUCACUACUUGCAUCAUGUCAAUGCAUUAUGUUUUAACAGUUUAUUUUGUUAAUUUUCUUUGUAGAUUCAAAAGAUAUAUGGAUGAUUAUAUGGUUGCGUAACAAGUAUAUUGCAAUGAUGAUGACGACGACGAUGACGACAACGACGAUGAUAUUCUGGUUCAUGAUGCUGAUGCUAAUGGAUGCUUUCAAUUUUAGUUAAGUUGUGGGAUGUUCCUUUUGGACAAUGUUCCUCAGUUAGUUUUAGUUAAUUUGUAGGGACGUUGAUGGACAAUUUUAGUUUAGAUUUUCCUGU